rnacentral:tRNA from 2 species
GCCGGUGUGGUGGAAUGGUAGACACAAGGGACUUAAAAUCCCUCGUUGGCAACAACGUACCGGUUCGAGUCCGGUCACCGGCACCA